GUUUUAUUAAACGGUUUUAUUUAGCUCACCCAGUUUGUUUUAUUAUUUAUUCAUUCUUGGGUCAAAUUUAGUAAUUCAAAUUUCACCCUCUUCCUGUCAACCGAUUAAUCUGAAAUUUUGUAUACACCUUUAAUUCCGAUGACAAUACAAUAUAGUAAUAUCAAUAACAUUGUAAAUCCAAUAUGGCCGCCGGCACAAAAUGGCGGAUAACGUAGAUUUUAUCAAUCCCAUCAAUAUGGGUAUCAAAUGAAAGGGCUCAACAAGCAGAAUACAAUAUACUAUAAAAAAUUGAAAUCCAAGAUGGCGGCCGCUACAAAAUGGCGGAUAACGUAGGUUUUAUCAAUCCCAUCAAUAUGGGUAUCAAAUGAAAGUUCUCAACCAGUAGAAUACAAUGUACUAUAUAAAAUUAAAAUCCAAGAUGGCGGCCUCUACAAAAUGGCGGAUAACUUAGGUUUUAUAAAUCCCAUCAACAUGGGUAUCAAAUGAAAGGUCUCAACAAGUAGAAUACAAUUUACUAUGCAAAAUUGAAAUCUAAGAUGGCGGAUAACGUAGGUUUUAUCAAUCCCAUCAAUAUGGGUAUCAAAUGAAAGGGCUCAACAAGCAGAAUACAAUAUACUAUAAAAAAUUGAAAUCCAAGAUGGCGGCCGCUACAAAAUGGCGGAUAACGUAGGUUUUAUCAAUCCCAUCAAUAUGGGUAUCAAAUGAAAGUUCUCAACCAGUAGAAUACAAUGUACUAUAUAAAAUUAAAAUCCAAGAUGGCGGCCUCUACAAAAUGGCGGAUAACUUAGGUUUUAUAAAUCCCAUCAACAUGGGUAUCAAAUGAAAGGGCUCAACAAGCAGAAUACAAUAUACUAUAAAAAAUUGAAAUCCAAGAUGGCGGCCGCUACAAAAUGGCGGCUAACGUAGGUUUUAUCAAUCCCAUCAAUAUGGGUAUCAAAUGAAAGUUCUCAACCAGUAGAAUACAAUGUACUAUAUAAAAUAAAAA
rnacentral:lncRNA from 1 species